GGUUUCCCCACUGUAAAUACUGCCUCGCCCCUCCUUUGAACUCCAGGGCAUCAGACCUCAAGGGUUAAACUGGACCCACCCGGGGGAAAAAGGGGGGGAGGUGGGAGACCUCUUCCACGACCCCUCCCACUCCACCCUGAGUAGGGCCUGGGACCCGGAAUGUGAAUAUAAUGUAGCUUCUUCGCUGGCUCCGGCCGUGCGCUCCCAGUCCUGUCCACUUCUGAAACUCUUGUUCCUAACGACAACGUGGCUAUGUGCAAUGGAUAUAAACGGACUGUGAGUCUCUUGGUUCAGUAUUAGGUUCGCUUUAUUUAUACUGUAAGUUAUUUUACUUACCCUGGACCCCUAUCCAGUCCUCGUUUUACAUUCAUUCUUGUUUGGAUUUGCUUUGUGAUUUUGUUGUUGUUAUUGUUGUUGUUGUUGUUGUGUAACGUAACAGCACUUUAAAAGGACGACAACUGACUCACGAGAUGGUGACCAUCUUGAGCCUAUUUGGGGAGACCUGUAUCCGUGACUUUUGUUUUUAAUAAAAAGAAAAAAAAA
rnacentral:lncRNA from 1 species